rnacentral:RNase_P_RNA from 1 species
CGAGACAAACGCUGCAACACUAUCGUUGUAGAGGAAAGUCCAUGCUCACACAUUCUGAGAUGAAUGUAGUGUUCGCGCCUGAGAAAAAAAUAACUCAGGGUAGUAUAACUAACGGCUCUGAAAUAUUCUUAAUGAGAAUAAAGUAAGUAUAAAAGUGCCAAAGAGACGAGCUUUUUAGUGAUAAAAGGAGUGGAACGUGGUAAACCCCGCGAGUGAGAAACCCAAAUUUUGGUAGGGGAGCUAGCCAAUGGUAAAUGAACCAGCGGUUGGAUGCAUUAUGCAUAGAUAAAUGUUUGUCACUUAUUUAUUAAGUACAGAACAUGGCUUAUG